rnacentral:rRNA from 1 species
CCUACGGGAGGCAGCAGUGGGGAAUUUUGCGCAAUGCUCGUAAGAGUGACGCAGCGACGCAGCGUGAAUGACGAAGGCCUUCGGGUCGUAAAGUUCUUUCGACAGGGAAGAAAAUGCCUAUAAGUAACUGUGUAUGUAUUGACGGUACCUGUAUAAGCAGCCCCGGCUAACUACGUGCCAGCAGCCGCGGUAAUACGUAGGGGGCGAGCGUUGUUCGGAGUGAUUGGGCGUAAAGAGCACGUAGGCGGUUUUGUAAGUCAUUAGUUAAAGACUAGGGCCCAACUCUGGUAAGGCUAGGGAUACUAGCAAACUAGAGUAUGAGAGAGGUAUGCAGAAUUCCUGGUGAAGCGGUGAAAUGCGUAGAUAUCAGGAGGAACACCGAUAGCGAAGGCGGCAAACUGGCUGGAUACUGACGCUGAGGUGCGAAAGCGUGGGUAGCAAACAGGAUUAGAUACCCGAGUAGUC